CUUCGGAUCUAGUGGCGCACGGGUGCGUAACGCGUGGGAAUCUGCCCUUGGGUUCGGAAUAACGUCGGGAAACUGACGCUAAUACCGGAUGAUGACGAAAGUCCAAAGAUUUAUCGCCCAGGGAUGAGCCCGCGUAGGAUUAGCUAGUUGGUGGGGUAAAGGCUCACCAAGGCUACGAUCCUUAGCUGGUCUGAGAGGAUGAUCAGCCACACUGGGACUGAGACACGGCCCAGACUCCUACGGGAGGCAGCAGUAGGGAAUAUUGGACAAUGGGGGCAACCCUGAUCCAGCAAUGCCGCGUGAGUGAUGAAGGCCUUAGGGUUGUAAAGCUCUUUUACCCGAGAUGAUAAUGACAGUAUCGGGAGAAUAAGCUCCGGCUAACUCCGUGCCAGCAGCCGCGGUAAUACGGAGGGAGCUAGCGUUGUUCGGAAUUACUGGGCGUAAAGCGCACGUAGGCGGCGAUUUAAGUCAGAGGUGAAAGCCCGGGGCUCAACCCCGGAACUGCCUUUGAGACUGGAUUGCUAGAAUCUUGGAGAGGCGGGUGGAAUUCCGAGUGUAGAGGUGAAAUUCGUAGAUAUUCGGAAGAACACCAGUGGCGAAGGCGGCCCGCUGGACAAGUAUUGACGCUGAGGUGCGAAAGCGUGGGGAGCAAACAGG
rnacentral:rRNA from 1 species